UACAGAGGUCCCAAGCGUUGUUCGGAUUCACUGGGCGUAAAGGGUGCGUAGGUGGUGAGGUAAGUCGGAUGUGAAAUCUCCAAGCUCAACUUGGAAACUGCAUUGGAAACUACCUUGCUAGAGGAUUUGAGGGGGGAUUGGAAUACUUGGUGUAGCAGUGAAAUGCGUAGAUAUCAAGUGGAACACCAGUGGCGAAAGCGAAUCCCUGGAAAAUACCUGACACUGAGGCACGAAAGCUAGGGGAGCAAACAGG
rnacentral:rRNA from 1 species